CGGACGAUACACAAGUGUACAUGGUUAUCAAGCCGCAAGACAACUGGGUGAAUUAUUUUUCAAAACUUGAAUUGUGUCUUUCCGACAUUAGUUCAUGGAUGUCAACAAAUAUGCUAAAACUUAAUCAAGAUAAAACCGAACUUAUCAUAUUCACACCGAAACACCUGAAGGCAGGUGUACCAAAUCUCCAACUCAAAGUCGGCAAUACAGUGAUAAGUAG
rnacentral:lncRNA from 1 species